GACCCCCUCCUCCUCCCCUAGCACCGCAGCCGGUUCGCCACCAUCGGUUCUUUUUCCAUCGGAGUUCUUCUGUCUCCGAAGCCAGGCUUCAGAGGUCCAGGCUGUGAUGGACCAGAGAGGGCCAGGCAGCAGGAAGCUCCCUCUGGGCCCAGAGGUGCUGACUCACCCCUAGGCAUCCUCACAGCCUCAUUUCUCACUGACACUCUGGGCUUACAGCCAGAGCUAGCCCAUCUGUCCUGCACAGGGCGAAAUAGGCACAACUUCGCUGUGGAACAAUUUUAGCAUCAGGCUAAGUGGAUGGUGCACAGGGCGAUGGCUGACCAGGCGGAAAGCUACAUGGUAGAUAAAAGGAAUGACCUAGUUAGAGCUCAGAUACGCAACGUCGAGUUUAAAGGAAUCUUAUUGGGUUAGGUCACCUAGUACAAGUACUUGCCACACAAGCUUAAGAGUCUGAGUUCAGCACAUGGAACCCUUGUUUUAAAAAAAAAAAAUGGGUAUAUUACAAGCCUCAAGCUUGUAAUCCUAGGUGGGGAGACAGAGACAGUUGAAUCCCUGGGGCUCACCAGCCAAACAGCCAAGCCUCAUGAGUUAGGCCAUGUCUUAAAAAGUAAGAUGACAGUUUCUGAGGAAUGACAUCUGAGGUUGUCCUCUGGCCUCUAUAGGCAUUCACACACAGGCAUACCUACACACAAAUGUGUGCAUACACAUUCGAAUAAAAUACAGCAUAAGUGAAGGAAGUGUUUUUCUUAGGGAUAACUGUUUUUUUUGUGUGACAUCAGCCACACACAUGCACACAAAACAUUCAUACUGUAUUAUAAAUGUUCCAUGGUACUUUUUUGGCAUGUGAAAGACAUUUUAACUGUGGAAGCAUCACACACUUUUAUAUAAUACUCACCUCAUAAAUUCAGGUGGAGCGUAGGCGGUUAUCCGUGACCAUCCUACAAUUUAAGAUGCAGAACACUUGGGCGGUUUUAUUUUAAGCCCCGAUGUUUCUACUCUAGGGCAGCAUGGUCUCUUCCUUUCUAGGGUCCCCGCAGCACCAGUACCUCCACUGACUGUAUGACACACUGCAGGUGACAGAGCACAGCCACCUCCCUCAUCUGACGGUGACCGCCACAGUAGCGCUGGGAAGGCGGGGCAGAUGUAACUGCUGUUCCCGUUUCUCAGAGGAGGUGACUGUGUCAGAAAAGUCCAGAGAUGAGUCCAAAGACACAAAGGAAGUGGCAGUCUGGGACCCUUGUCCUCCAACCCUAGUCUAAUGCAAUGACUGGCCAGAUGUCCAGAUUUAUUUAAGGUAUACAGGACUUAGGGUGUUUACAGUAGCUGCUCUCAGACCCUUUUGGAGGAGCCUCCCGAUAGCAACGGGAUGUGCUAAGCUUCUGAACGGAGGGUACUGAUGCCUUUAUCCACCUCACACCCUAAACACAGCCGCCCAAACAGACUUCCGUCUCCAGGCAUCCAGUCCCAGCUUUGUCUGGAAGGAAAGCUUCAGGUUCCCUCACAAGGGACUGUCACAAGAAUAGGAGCAAAAAUAACUACAGGGCCUCUGGCCAGGCCUCCAAAGAGUGAGAAGAUAGUUUGGCUUGAAGACAGUUAGACGGAGUCCCAAGAGGACUUGGGGGGUUGGGGAUAAGUAUGGGGACCAGGGGCAAGGGAUUGACCUGAGGGAACUUCACAGGCAGGUCCAGAGGAAGAUCAAGGGGCAGGUCUCCCUCUCCACUCAGGACGUCAAGGAUGACGAGCAUACAGAAGCCAUCCAUGGACUCUAAGCUGGCUCAGCGGGUGAAGAAGCCUGCUGCCAAGGCUGAAAACUUGAGUUCAGUCUCCCAGACCCACAUGAUGGAAGGAGAGAGCCGACUCCCAUUAGUUACCAUCUGACCUCCACAUAUAUGCUGUGGAACAUGAAUUUGUACACACACACACACACACACACACACCCACACACACACUAGAAUAAAAGUGAGGAAAAAAAGAAGCCAUUCACGUAGGAAUUUGUAGAAGAGGUUAACAACUUCUAUCACCUUCUGAGACUAUGUCAGCCAGCUCUAAGCAUCCCCUGGCCAGGUGAAGAGAAAGAUGGGCCGAUCUCUCAGUGAUGGGCCUCACCUCAGUUGGGCCCUCCCCAGGCCCAGGCCCCUCAUCCUUGCAUUACUGUGUGUCCCCUCCUCAGAAGUCUGGUGAGGACGGUUUCCAUCCCAGAAUCCUCCACGAGCCUGGCACCAACAUCAUGAAACAUCAACAACAGCUCCCAUGAGUGCUGGAUGAAGUGAUAAAAUCCCGUUCUUUGGGGAAAUGGGGAGUAGGCCCUCCUGAGAGGAGGUGUGAGUCAGCAGCAGAUGACUCUGUGUACAAACGUUGCUCCCCACGGUCUUCAUCACGCGGUCUCUCUCUGUGGUCCAAACCCUCUGCUGUGUGCCAGAAGACAUUCAACUAAGCACAGAAGAGUCACUGGUGGGCGCUAACUGGUCAGACUUUUUUUCCUUCCAGGAAUCUGAACUUCUACCCUGAGGUGAGAGGCAACCCUUCCCCACUUGACUGUCCCUGGGAAGGAUGCCAGUGGGCACCAAGAACCGUGGCUCCGGAAGCCUCCACCUUGCUUUCCUCAGAAGACCCUUGCUGUUAACUAGAAGUCUCCAGAUCCGCCCAGCCCAUGGCCCCUGUGUCUUGAGGCAGCUGGGGUUCAUUUGUGCUGCUUGCCAGCAAAGGAGACUUCACCACACCUUCCCACGUGGCCUUCCUGGGCACGAAUGGAAACUGGACUCCUUGGUGACUCACGUGACAGUUCAUCGCCUUCAGGAGAUAACUCACGCUUCCAAUAGUCCCGAAGCCCAGUUCCCCUCUGAAGAGUUGAGAUGGCAAAUCUUCAACCAGUGGUCUUCCCGUGACUGAGAUGGAGGGGAGGUGGCCUGGCCGUGAGGAGUGCUCUCUCCUCUCCAGGCCUUCCCAUCUCUGACCUCUCUCACUGUGAGACUGUGCUGGGACCCGGGGCCCUGCUUGGCAGCUGCUUCCCUUCUACAAAUGAGAUGUGUGGAAGCAUCUAGGAGGCAGACAGCAAGCCCUCUCCAUCCAUCUGCCCAACAGAAGGCACAGGAAUGACCCACAGAUUAGCACUGCUGUCAGAGAAACUCCUGUUAGCUUUAGGUGAUGGGUAAUGCAGCGACUUAUAACUAGACGAAGUGCUGAGAAUAAGUGGCCAUUGAGUGCCCAGCACUCAACAGUAUAGCUCAGAGAGUGUCAUGGAAGAGGGGAGCUAGAGGCUGGGCAACACUGUCUUCUACACAUGAACUCAUGACAGCUGUGCGUGCCUGCACAGGACAGGGCCCAUCAAUGUGCUACCAUGCUCCGGGAAGCGGCUCAUAAAUUUCCACCCCUCUCUGGGAAACUACAGGCAGUUAAUGGUUGCGAGGAGAGAGGAAGUCCUGUCGCUCAGUAGUGCACUGGUAAGUUGCCCUUGUUUGUGUAAAUGACCCAUGCACUCCCAUACUACUCACAACCCUAAUUAAAUUCAGUGUAAACACACAUAAAUACACAAGACAUAAAGGUCUGGAGGGUGAACUGGCUAGUUUUAUGUCAAUUUUACACAAACUAGAGUUAUCUGGAAAGAGGGAACCUCAACCGAGAAAAUGCCUCCAUAAGAUUCAGCUUGCAGGGCAUUUUCCUAACUAGUGAUUAAUGGAGGAGGGGGGCAGCCCAUUGUGGGUGGCGCCAUCUCUGGGCUGCUGGUCCUGAGUUGUAUAAGAAAGUAGACUGAGCAAGCCAUGACGAACAAGCCAGUAAGCAGCCCCCCUCCAUGGCCUCUGCAUCAGCUCCCUCCAGGUUCCUGCCCUGUUUGAGUUUCUGUCCUGACUUCCUUCAGUGAUGGACCAUGACGUGGGAGUGGAAGCCAAAUAAACCCUUUCUUCCCGUGU